rnacentral:rRNA from 1 species
AACGAACGCUGGCGGCAGGCCUAACACAUGCAAGUCGAGCGCACUCUUCGGAGUGAGCGGCGGACGGGUUAGUAACGCGUGGGAAUAUACCCAGAUCUAAGGAAUAGCCACUGGAAACGGUGAGUAAUACCUUAUACGCCCUUCGGGGGAAAGAUUUAUCGGAUUUGGAUUAGCCCGCGUUAGAUUAGAUAGUUGGUGGGGUAAUGGCCUACCAAGUCUACGAUCUAUAGCUGGUUUUAGAGGAUGAUCAGCAACACUGGGACUGAGACACGGCCCAGACUCCUACGGGAGGCAGCAGUGGGGAAUCUUGGACAAUGGGCGCAAGCCUGAUCCAGCCAUGCCGCGUGAGUGAUGAAGGCCUUAGGGUCGUAAAGCUCUUUCGCCAGGGAUGAUAAUGACAGUACCUGGUAAAGAAACCCCGGCUAACUCCGUGCCAGCCGCCG